GAGAUUUGAAAUUACAUUCCCUUAACGAGUCGCGUCGUGCUGAGCAAGCUCAGUGAAGAACAGUGCGCAAGAGCGGGCAACUGGAAAUCCAGCACGUACUCGCUGAACUGCGAGGAGUCCACCCCUCCGCCACAGGACGCGGCCACACUGAAGCCCUUCUGGAAGAGGCGUUCCAGCACCUGGGGGAGACGACAAGCACAGCGGUCAGCAUGAAAACGCAGAUAAAGCAGAAAUAAAUCAGCAGAAAUGAAAGGAAGAUCUAAGGAAGUCCAUGGACUGUUCGGGCCCUCACCUGCUCGGCCUGGCUUUCCCAUUCCAACGGAGGGAAAGGUUAUGAGCAUGUGGCUGGUGGGACCUGGCGGGGAGUGGAAACCUCAGAUCUUGUAUUUAUACCAGUAGUCCGCACAGCAGGCCCUCUGUAAGAUGUGAAGGCGAAAAUACGACAGAAAUGAAUCGGAUCCCACUUCAUGUGAAGAUUAUUUAAGCACAGCGAAAUCCGAGCUGAGCUGAGGACUGCCUACAUUAACCAGGUGUGGGAUUUGUUUUUUAAAACUCGGCUCUCUCGCAACGACGUCCUGUUUGGAAAGGAUUGGAGACGCACGGGUGGUGCUUCACCAUUGAUCCUGUCAGAGCCGUCGGCCAGCUGAUACGCUGAUCCUUCCCUGGCUCCUUACAGGAGAGUUAGCGCUGACUGGACGAGCAAUGCGUUUCUCAAGCCUGCAGGCGCCCAGCUCCUCACUGGAGUCCCUUUUAAUGGGAUACAGCCCAGGCCAAAUAAUUCCAACUCCUCCAGAUCACGGCUGGUAUCUGCAAUCCUCUCCCCCCCCUACACUUACUCUUCCUCGUAUGUGCCAUUUAAGAUGGGUGAUCUAUUUUAAGUUAAAGGGUGCUAAUACUUACUACUGAAUCUCUGAUCAAUGGGAAAUGUGAUUUGUGGAGUUGAAUAGAUACUUAUAGUGUUCUUUGGUGAAACAGACACCUUUCUCCUUUUACCCUACAAUCCAUUCAAGUUCUCUUUCUGGUGAAAGCAACUGAAAAAAUCUCUGCACCUGCUUUUAAUAUUAUUUAAUUCUGUCAAGGAAUUCUUCAGAAGUAGCACUGUUUCAAUAGUUUGGGAUGCUUACAUAGAGGAUUAAGAAUGUUUUUGGUUUUUUUUUAAUCACUCCUUUAAAAACAUUUUCCUCAACAUUUAACUAAAAAAAAACUCAAGAGCUUUAAAACCUGAUUACUUCAGGCCCAGUUAGUGAAAUAGUGAUAAAUACAUAAAGAAAAAAAGCUGAACCACAGGCUGUCUUGUAUAAACACUGCCAAACGCAGCACCAAAAUAACCAAAAGUUAUUUCAAAGCUAGUGAACUAAAAUUAAAUCGAGCUAGAAUGACAUUUCAACACCCAAGUUUCCUCCUUUGUCUUAGAGCAUAACGAAUUGAGAUUCUGGGAAUUAAUCAAUUAUAUUCUCAAGGACAAACCACAAGUAUAGAACUUUGAUCCGUGGUUGUAUUCACAUGAAAAUAACACAAAAGACUAUACAAACAGACAUAAAAAGCACUUGUUGGUACCGUUGUUCUUAUAAGAGAGCAGUUUGGAUUAAGUCCUGCUUUGUAUAGAUCUAGACACCACAUUGAACAAUAAAUAUCUGCAAUGAUAAAAGCUCUUCAGGACAGGAGGAUGGAUAACGUUAAAGAAGGACAAUCCAGGACCAACACACUCUCAAAAGGCCGCCAUAUAAAAGUUGUAAAUGUGAUGUUACAAUUUCUCUUUGCACUCACUGCCUGUAUACAGAAUAAACCAGAGAAAAUGGCGGCCUCUGUCUGUCGUCUUACCUGGAAAUGUUCCCGAUCCUACACUUCUCACAGUGCCCCCUGUAAGUAUUGACAGGACCGCCGUACAGAAUCAUAAGGGAGUCAACUGGCAAAGCAGCAGGGGCUUCCUAAUGCCGGAGCCUCUUAGUUUCAGGUCAAACUUGCUCUCUUGUUUUCAUAAUGGGAAGGUUAGCCC